AAUAAAUGUUCCUAUUUUAAACUGAUCUUCACUAAAGACAGCAUCUUUCUUUCUGUCACCUAAUGUGGUGUUUGCCUGCAGAUCUCGGCUAUACUUGCAAGUGUUGUCAAGUGCGGAGUUGGAUAAGACAAGCUACUCUGAGGUGCCAUACUUACCUGCAGGCUUGGAGGUGUGUUAAGAUGGUGUGAGAGGCCCUUGGGAGUAAUACAAGUGCAGUUUGACCACUCUGAACACUAUGUACCACUGUAUAGAGCAGUGCCAGAGUCCAUAGGCUUCUAGCAACUUGGUGCUCUGCUAUAUGCAAAGAACAUCCAUGAGAAAGCCUUAUUGUCUGUCAAACUUUGCUGACUCUUUUGUUUGCUUGGUUAAAAAAAA